CUGUCUCUUUAUAAUUAUUAGUUUAAUUUAAUUUUUAAGUUAAAAAGCUUAAAUUUUUUUAAAGGACGAGAAGACCCUAUAGAGUUUUACAAAUUUAUUUAUUUAAAUAAUUUAUUUAAUAUUAUUUAAAAAUUUAAUUUGUUUUAUUGGGGUGAUAUUAAAAUUAAAUUAACUUUUAAAAUUUUAAAACAUUAAUUUAUGAAUUUUUGAUCCUAAAAUUUAGAUUAUUAGAAUAAAUUACCUUAGGGA
rnacentral:rRNA from 1 species